rnacentral:rRNA from 1 species
GUGGGGAAUCUUGCGCAAUGGGCGAAAGCCUGACGCAGCCAUGCCGCGUGAAUGAUGAAGGUCUUAGGAUUGUAAAAUUCUUUCACCGGGGACGAUAAUGACGGUACCCGGAGAAGAAGCUCCGGCUAACUUCGUGCCAGCAGCCGCGGUAAUACGGAGGGGGCUAGCGUUGUUCGGAAUUACUGGGUGUAAAGCGCGCGUAGGCGGAUUGGAAAGUUGGGGGUGAAAGCCCGGAGCUCAACUUCGGAAUUGCCUUCAAGACUGUCUCGCUCGAGGCAGGGAGAGGAGAGCGGAAUACCCAGUGUAGAGGUGAAAUUCGUAGAUAUUGGGUGGAACACCGGUGGCGAAGGCGGCUCUCUGGCCCUGAUCUGACGCUAAGGCGCGAAAGCGUGGGGAGCAAACAGGAUUAGAUACCCCUGUAGUCC